rnacentral:rRNA from 1 species
UUUAGCAAAUGGGAUUAGAUACCCCAGUAGUCCACACCGUAAACGAUGGGUAUUAGAUAUUAGGGCUUUAGCUUUAGUGUUGUAGCUUACGCGUUAAAUACCCCGCCUGGGUAGUACAUAUGCAAAUAUGAAACUCAAAGGAAUUGACGGGGACCUGAACAAGUGGUGGAGCAUGUUGCUUAAUUCGAUAAUACACGAAAAACCUUACCAAGGUUUGACAUCCCUCGCAAAGCUAUAGAAAUAUAGUAGAGGUUAUCGAGGUGACAGGUGGUGCAUGGCUGUCGUCAGCUCGUGUCUUGAGAUGUUUGGUUAAGUCCCGCAACGAGCGCAACCCCACUCUUUAGUUACUUGUCUAAAGAGACUGCACAGUAAUGUAGAGGAAGGAUGGGAUCACGUCAAGUCAUCAUGCCCCUUAUGCCUUGGGCUGCAAACGUGCUACAAUGGCGAACACAAUGUGUU